rnacentral:rRNA from 1 species
GAUGAACGCUGGCGGCGUGCUUAACACAUGCAAGUCGAACGGUGAAGGCGGAGCUUGCUCUGCUGGAUCAGUGGCGAACGGGUGAGUAACACGUGAGCAAUCUGCCCCUGACUCUGGGAUAAGCGCUGGAAACGGCGUCUAAUACUGGAUACGAGCUGCGAAGGCAUCUUCAGCAGCUGGAAAGAAGUUCGGUCAGGGAUGAGCUCGCGGCCUAUCAGCUUGUUGGUGAGGUAAUGGCUCACCAAGGCGUCGACGGGUAGCCGGCCUGAGAGGGUGACCGGCCACACUGGGACUGCGACACGGCGCAGACUCCUACGGGAGGCAGCAGUGGGGAGUAUUGCACAAUGGGCGAAAGCCUGAUGCAGCAACGCCGCGUGAGGGACGACGGCCUUCGGGUUGUAAACCUCUUUGAGCAGGGAAGAAGAGAAAGUGACGGUACCUGCAGAAAAAGCGCCGGCUAACUACGUG